UAAUAAACAAUAAUUUGGAGUAAAUCAGAAAUAAUUUUCGUCGACUAAUAAAGAUGAGACGAAAAUGCAGUUCGGUAAAUAAAGACUGGGCUAAAAUCUAUGGACAUUUUAGUUCACGAACAAAGACGAGACGAAAAUUAUAUAUUAUUAUUUUAUGUUUUUUUCAAAUCCUGUCUCGUCUCCUCCUCCGCCUCGUCAGCUCCCACACACCCACUUUCAAACCUGGAGCGGGCGGCACAGAGUAGCCUACUCUGGGGCUCGGGAGAAAGAGGAGACGUGAUAUAUGGACACAUUUUCACUUCAUUGAAGUGGAGAAAAAAACCAAAUGCUUGAUUUUAAUGGAAGGGAAGGAAUAUGGCCACAUGGUAGCUGGAAAAAACACAACAAACCUGAAGAGACACGUCGCAGUUUACCACAAAGACAUUACGAUUAAAGAUACACCACCAACAACAACCUACCAGCCACCCAGAAACAAUGACAGGCCAGCUAAAGCUGGAAGGAAAGCACUUUUGUUGUAUCAGUUGGAGUUUUUUUUUUUU